UUUUUGAGAAUCAUGAUGAGGCAUUAAAGAAGAGGAGGAGUGUCUCAAGGGAGGUGAGCUGGAGGUGAUGCAAGGUGGAGAGAGGAUGCCAGACAGAUAUUUGAGCAGAACAAAGAGAGCCAACAGGAUGAAGGCAUUCCCUGGCUGGUUGGACAAGCAACUGAAGAACAGGAACAGAAGUGAAUGAAAAGAGAAGAUGCUGUGUUUGUGUUUUCUCUUGGUUAGAAUGCUGUGAGUCAGGACCUUAGCUGCUGGGUGUCCUGGGACUGCCUUCGAUGAAGAACCUGAGGCUCACCUUGCUUAAGUGACUUGAGCAGCUUCACGCAUCUUGUAAGUAGUAGAGACAGAGUCAAAACCAGAUCUUCCUGCCCUCUCUAUCAUAUAAACCACUUACACUGAAUUACAAAGUGAAACUGAUCUAUGGUGAAUUGUACUAAUGUUCUGCUUCUGCCAUGGGCACCAGAGGAGAUACCUUUCUUUGUUGACACUAAUCUCAAAGGCUAAAUUAGAUCCCCCAAACUCAUUUCCAUUAAUAACAUGUCAAAGGCUUGUGUCAUGCGUUAAUUUAUCCAAAGUGAUCUUGAUUCUAUUUACAUUUUGGUGCCACCUUUUAAUGUCACCAUUUUUAUAAAUUAAAUAUGUAAUAUAUAAAGCCAGUCUUCACUUACUGAUAUGUUAAUUUUUAACCCAAACUUCUUAGUCUGACAUUCCAGCAAUACCGGAGCAUUGACAGUUGAUAAUAGCUCUAUGUGCUACCUCUCCAAGAAACAAAUUUGCAUUUUAACCUGCCCCUUCAAUGGCUGAACUUCAAAGGGUCACUGAUGAAUGCCACAGCAGAGAAAACUGCAAAUUGGAACAGCAGAGCUGUGCCUCUGGCCAUUUCCUGGAACUACAGAGGAGCAACUUGCCCCGGUUUCCAGUGGGUGAUGUUCCUCUUCUGCCACAGUCCCUGGCGAUGUUGAUGUGAUUGCCAUCAGAGCUCAGAAGCACAGAGCAGAAUCAUCCCCUGGAGGAGGAUUCCCUUCAGUGUAAGAAGUUCUUACAGAAUUAAUCCUCAAAGACUGUGGGUGGACUCUGCCAGGUUUUUCCCCGGGUGUACCAGAAGAGAGGAAGAGCCCUCAAAUACAGGAAAGUGCUCUUUUCAGUGACAGUAGUUCUUUUGGGCCCUGUGGCUAAGUGUGCUCCCACCCCAGCAGUAAGAUCACAGCUAAUCCUGAGAGGCAAGAGCUCACACCAGGCUACUGAAAGAAAAAGUGUCCUUUGUGGAUUGCAAGAGGAACUGGGACACACUGCUGGAAAUGAAGUGGCAGGUCAUAAACUAUCAUAAACUCAGGAGGAGAGGUGUUCCUUUUUGAGACACUCAUCACAACUAGAGAGAAUGCAGCUAAGAAAAUGCAGUCUUUAGGGGGACCUGGACUGUUGAAGUAUUUGAGCUAUUCGGAGGAAAUAGAAACUUGGAAGAGAUCUUUGUUCCACUAUUAUUUGGCAGCCCCUUACCCGCAGCUGCCAUUACUCCAGAUUCUCUCUGAUGAUCCUGCAUCAGGAGAAUGAGUUGACUGGGCACCACUGGGAAAUGUGGGCAGCUCCAGGCUGAACUAGAGAAGGGGCAUGUCAAAGGUCACUUAUUUGUGGCUUGACCCUUUGGAGGCCAGAUGUAAGAAUCAAUUUCUCACAGGUCCCAUGCUAACGCUUUUCAUAUUUAUUUCCAUCUGAGACUCACUUAGGCUAGGCAAAUAUCCCAUGGGUCUGUACCUCUCCAGUGCUUUCUUGCUCAUGUAAAAUUAGCUCAUUGGAAUGAAUAAAGAGAAUGGUAUUACUUUGGCUCGAACACG
rnacentral:lncRNA from 1 species